rnacentral:lncRNA from 1 species
AGAGAUGUGAAAACUGGAAGAGAAACAGGAAGUACCUCCAGGAUUCACCUAAAUAGAUGCUGCGGUUUCUAUCAAACCACAGGCCACCCCAGCAUCUCAGUGGCUUCUAUAGGUUGUCCUGAAAGAGCCAUGAGGCCAGGGCCCUUGAUGGAUUCCCAGAUACCAGCUGCUCCUCCAGACACCAAUUCCACCCUCCACCUUUCUGUGUCCGUCCCAGACCAAGGCAGCCCAGGACUGGUAUCCUUCUAAGAAGAGGAAGGCACAUCAGAGGAGAGGCCAUGUGAGGACACCAUGGGAAGGCGGCCACCUGCAAGCCAAGGAGAGGGGCCUCAGGAGAAACCAGCCCUGCUGACACCCUGAGCUCCUUGCAAUUCCAGCCUCCUAGACUGUGAGAAAAUACACUUGUGUUAUUUAA